rnacentral:lncRNA from 1 species
AUGGGAGAAAAGGGUGACCGGGGCAUGAUGGGACCCCCAGGCGCACCAGGACCCAAGGGCUCGAUGGGUCAUCCUGGAACUCCUGGUGCUGUUGGGACCCCCGGAGAGCCUGGACCCCCGGGUCCUCCAGGAUCUCGAGGUCCACCAGGCAUGAGGGGAGCAAAGGGACUCUGGGGCCCCCGAGGACCAGGACGGACCAGCCGGGGAGCAGGGGUCCAGGGGCCUGAAGGUACCAACCCCACAGCCUGCCCUUCCUCGCGCCUCCCACGCCGCCCGGGACAGGAAUCCAGGAACCGAGGCUCAGGCCCUCCUCGGGGCGCUAGGGCCCUGGACAGCAGGGAGCCCAGGAGAGGCUGGGAGCUCCCGGGCCACUCCUCCGGGCCCUGCAGCCUGAGCCUGGGUGGGGGGGGAGGAAGAGCAGAGUCGGGGGGGGAGGGAGGGAGAGAGCAGUGGACAAGAGGGCGCCCGAGGAGGCAGGAGGCAGGGCGGGGAGGGAGCCUCGGGUGCCCUCUGGCCCCUUCCCCUGGGGCCCCCAGCCCCCUCCAGAGCCCCCGAGAGCCGAGAUUGCCUCUGGUCCCAGCAGGAGCCAGGGGUCCCCGGCUCUCCAGAGCAGAUGGUGACGGUGACGAGCCAGGCCCCUUGCCUGGUCUCAGUUUUCCCACCUGCACAACCGGGAGGGGGGACCCAGUCCCUUCCGUCUCCCCCGCAGCGUGGGUCGGGGCCCGAGAAGGGCCCUCCUAA